rnacentral:rRNA from 1 species
GAUUAACGCUGGCGGCGUGCAUAACACAUGCAAGUCGAACGAUGAAACUUAAAUGAUUUCUUCGGAAUGAACUUAAGUGGAUUAGUGGCGGACGGGUGAGUAACGCGUGAGUAACCUGCCUUACACAAGGGGAUAGCCGUUGGAAACGACGAAUAAUACCCUAUGAAACUAUCACUUCGCAUGAAGCGAUAGUCAAAGUGUUAGCGGUGUAAGAUGGACUUGCGUCUGAUUAGCUAGUUGGUGAGAAAAAAGCCCACCAAGGCAACGAUCAGUAGCCGGCUUGAGAGAGUGUACGGCCACAUUGGGACUGAAACACGGCCCAGACUCCUACGGGAGGCAGCAGUGGGGAAUUUUGCACAAUGGGGGAAACCCUGAUGCAGCGACGCCGCGUGAUUUAGAAGGCCUUCGGGUUGUAAAAAUCUUUUGUAUAGGAAGAAAAUGACAGUACUAUACGAAUAAGGUCCGGCUAAUUACGUG